GUGCUCACUUCAGCAGCACAUAUACUAAAAUUGGAAUGAUACAGAAAAGAUUAGCAUGACCCCUGCACAAGGAUGAUAUGCAAAUUUGUGAAGCAUUCCAUAUUUUU
rnacentral:snRNA from 1 species